CACCAAUAACUGUUAGGUGAGGUGCAUAUAAAUCAGUGGGACAGAAGUAUCCACUAAAAAUUUUGAGUCACGUUAGUAUUUUUGUUUCUCUACUUGGAGAGUGUUAGAGAUCCAAAAAAAUAAUGAAAGUCCAUUUGAUUCUUAAAAUCUCUAGAUCAAAUGAAAUCAAAUUACAAAUGUCUAACUUGAAUCUCUACUCUUGCAGAUUAAUAAUGUUAGCUUCAAAUCCUUAGCCUAAAUUUUAGAGUCCAAC
rnacentral:lncRNA from 1 species